UACGUAGGCAGCGAGCGUUGUUCGGAAUUACUGGGCGUAAAGCGUGCGCAGGCGGUUUGCUAAGACCGGUGUGAAAUCCCCGGGCUUAACCUGGGAACUGCGCUUGUAACUGGCAAGCUAGAGUGUGGCAGAGGGGGGUGGAAUUCCACGUGUAGCAGUGAAAUGCGUAGAGAUGUGGAGGAACACCGAUGGCGAAGGCAGCCCCCUGGGCUAACACUGACGCUCAUGCACGAAAGCGUGGGGAGCAAACAGG
rnacentral:rRNA from 1 species